CAAUCUUGGAGGCAUAACAAGCUUGUUUAUCUUCCUCCUCUUGGCCUCUUCUUAUCUUGUUGGCACAGCCAAAUCUGUAUGGGUUUCAGGGAAAUGUUGAGGCUUUUAGUGCUUUAUACAGCACCAGGGUUUGAAGGGGGAAGCUGUGCACUGGGUAAGGAGAGAAGCAAUAAUCUUUAUUCCCCAGAUCUUGUAGAAAAAACUUUGUAUUAGGAACACCAUCAGGCUGUUAGUGGCAGCUUUGAAGAUGUGAACUUAAAAACAGAAAAGAAAAUACUGAAAAACUGAUCUGAGUACACAUUUGUUUUCUUCCUUAGGAAGAACUGGUAAGCAAUAUAUAAAUAAGAUACUUCCUAAAGCUGAAUAUUACUCAAGAAAACAAUACAAGUUUCUCCAAGAUGUCUUUCCCCAUACCCUCUUACAAAAGUUGUGUCAUCUCUACUUAAUUAGCAUUGAUGUGAUAUCAACUGACAAUUGUACAAGCUGUUCAGAGACCUUUGUGUUGCAAUGUGGUGUUACUUUUCAUUGUGGGAUGACUAGAUUUCUCUGCAG
ensembl:lncRNA